rnacentral:rRNA from 1 species
AGUGAACGCUGGCGGUAGGCCUAACACAUGCAAGUCGAACGGCAGCACAGUAAGAGCUUGCUCUUACGGGUGGCGAGUGGCGGACGGGUGAGGAAUAUAUCGGAAUCUACUUUUUCGUGGGGGAUAACGUAGGGAAACUUACGCCAAUACCGCAUACGACCUACGGGUGAAAGCAGGGGAUCUUCGGACCUUGCGCGAUUGAAUGAGCCGAUGUCGGAUUAGCUAGUUGGCGGGGUAAAGGCCCACCAAGGCGACGAUCCGUAGCUGGUCUGAGAGGAUGAUCAGCCACACUGGAACUGAGACACGGUCCAGACUCCUACGGGAGGCAGCAGUGGGGAAUAUUGGACAAUGGGCGCAAGCCUGAUCCAGCCAUACCGUGUGGGUGAAGAAGGCCUUCGGGUUGUAAAGCCCUUUUGUUGGGAAAGAAAAGCAGCAGGUUAAUACCCCGCUGUUCUGACGGUACCCAAAGAAUAAGCACCGGCUAACUUCGUG